rnacentral:rRNA from 1 species
AUUGAACGCUGGCGGCAUGCCUUACACAUGCAAGUCGAACGGCAGCAUGAUCUAGCUUGCUAGAUUGAUGGCGAGUGGCGCACGGGUGAGUAAUACAUCGGAACGUGCCCUGUAGUGGGGGAUAACUAGUCGAAAGAUUAGCUAAUACCGCAUACGACCUGAGGGUGAAAGUGGGGGACCGCAAGGCCUCAUGCUAUAGGAGCGGCCGAUGUCUGAUUAGCUAGUUGGUGAGGUAAAGGCUCACCAAGUCGACGAUCAGUAGCUGGUCUCAGAGGACGAUCAGCCACACUGGGACUGAGACACGGUCCAGACUCCUACGGGAGGCAGCAGUGGGGAAUUUUGGACAAUGGGCGAAAGCCUGAUCCAGCAAUGCCGCGUGUGUGAAGAAGGCCUUCGGGUUGUAAAGCACUUUUGUCCGGAAAGAAAUGGCUCUGGUUAAUACCUGGGGUCGAUGACGUUACCGGAAGAAUAAGGACCGGCUAACUACGUG